AUGUUUCAAGGUACUAAGAUACAUGCCAAGGUGAUGAAACAUAUGGUUAACAAGUUCAGGCCGUCGAUCCAAGAAGAUUUAGUCUACAUGAUAGCGAAUUUUAAGGUUACAUCUGCCAAGAAUUUCUGUCCAGUUGAAGGUGGUAAGGUUAUUAAAUUUUUGCACACAACAAAAAUUCAAGAAGGACUUAAAAAUAUCAAAAUAGCAGAACAAAGUUUCAUGUUUUGUAGUGUUGAAGUUCUUUUCACAAGAGAUGGCCAGAAGAUGUACUUAUCCGAUGUCAUUGGGGUAGCAAGUUAUAUAGGGAACAUUGAAGAAACACAGACAACCCAUGGGAUCACAAAGAUUCGAGAUAUUGUAGUUCGAAUUGAGUACCAAAAAGUUAAUAUUAGACUAUGGGGUAAUAAGGUCAACCAAAUUGAUGAAGAUUCUAUGAGAUGUGUUGUCAUAGUAACAUCAACAACUGUCAGAAAACUGAAAGGUCCGUAUUUACAUCAAUCAAGGGUAAGUAGUGCCAUGCAUGCCUUUUUUGUAUUCGAAAUUUAA
rnacentral:rRNA from 1 species